GACGAACGCUGGCGGCGUGCCUAACACAUGCAAGUCGAGCGGUCUCGCCUAUAGCAAAAGGCCUUCGGGCUUCGAGCAAAGGCGAGAUAGCGGCGGACGGGUGAGUAACGCGUGGCUUAUCUGUCCCAGGGAGGGGGAUAACGUCUGGAAACGGGCGCUAAUACCCCAUAUGCCGGUGAGGUAAAAAGGAGAAAUCCGCCCUGGGGUGAGGCCGCGUCCUAUCAGCUAGUUGGUGAGGUAACGGCCCACCAAGGCUAUGACGGGUAGCCGGCCUGAGAGGGCGGCUGGCCACACUGGGAUUGAGAUACGGCCCAGACUCCUACGGGAGGCAGCAGUGGGGAAUAUUGGGCAAUGGGGGAAACCCUGACCCAGCGACGCCGCGUGGAGGAAGGAGCCCUUCGGGGUGUAAACUCCUGUUGUAAGGGAAGAAGACAGUGACGGUACCUUACGAGGAAGCCCCGGCAAACUACGUGCCAGCAGCCGCGGUAACACGUAGGGGGCGAGCGUUGUCCGGAAUCACUGGGCGUAAAGCGCACGCAGGCGGAUGCGCGCGUCGGCUGUGAAAUGCACCGGCUCAACCGGUGCACUGCGGUCGAUACGGCGCGUCUGGAGUGCGGGAGAGGGAAGCGGAAUUCCCGGUGUAGCGGUGAAAUGCGUAGAUAUCGGGAGGAACGCCGGUGGCGAAGGCGGCUUCCUGGCCCGCAACUGACGCUCAUGUGCGAAAGCCAGGGGAGCGAACCGGAUUAGAUACCCGGGUAGUCCUGGGCCGUAAACGAUGGACGCUAGGUGUGGGCGGUUUAUCCGUCUGUGCCGAAGUUAACGCGUUAAGCGUCCCGCCUGGGGAGUAUGAUCGCAAGGUUGAAACUCAA
rnacentral:rRNA from 1 species